rnacentral:rRNA from 1 species
AUAGUUUGAUCCUGGCUCAGAUUGAACGCUGGCGGCGUGCUUAACACAUGCAAGUCGAGCGAGAAAGCUCUCUUCGGAGAGUGAGUAGAGCGGCGCACGGGUGAGUAACGCGUGGAUAAUCUGCCCUGAAGAUCGGGAUAACAGUUGGAAACGACUGCUAAUACCGGAUACCCUGCAUAUUUAACUUUAUGUGGUAAAGGUGGCCUCUAUUUAUAAGCUACCGCUUUGGGGAUGAGUCCGCGUCUCAUUAGCUUGUUGGUGGGGUAAUGGCUCACCAAGGCAACGAUGAGUAGCUGGUCUGAGAGGAUGAUCAGCCACACUGGGACUGAAACACGGCCCAGACUCCUACGGGAGGCAGCAGUGGGGAAUAUUGCGCAAUGGGGGAAACCCUGACGCAGCGACGCCGCGUGCGGGAAGAAGGCCUUCGGGUCGUAAACCGCUGUCAGGAGGGAAGAAACUGUUAGGGUAUAAUACGCCCUUUCACUGACGGUACCUCCAAAGGAAGCACCGGCUAACUCCGUGCCAGCAGCCGCGGUAAUACGGAGGGUGCGAGCGUUAAUCGGAAUCACUGGGCGUAAAGCGCACGUAGGCGGCGCAUCAAGUCAGGCGUGAAAGCCCUCGGCUCAACCGGGGAAUUGCGUUUGAAACUGGUGUGCUGGAGUCUCGGAGAGGUUGGCGGAAUUCCAGGUGUAGGAGUGAAAUCCGUAGAUAUCUGGAGGAACACCGGUGGCGAAGCGGCCAACUGGACGAGUACUGACGCUGAUGUGCGAAAGCGUGGGAGCAAACAGGAUAGAUACCCUGGUAGUC